rnacentral:rRNA from 1 species
GACGAACGCUGGCGGCGUGCUUAACACAUGCGAGUCGAACGGAAAGGCCCUGCUUUUGUGGGGUGCUCGAGUGGCGAACGGGUGAGUAACACGUGAGUAACCUGCCCUUGACUUUGGGAUAACUUCAGGAAACUGGGGCUAAUACCGGAUAGGAGCUCCUGCUGCAUGGUGGGGGUUGGAAAGUUUCGGCGGUUGGGGAUGGACUCGCGGCUUAUCAGCUUGUUGGUGGGGUAGUGGCUUACCAAGGCUUUGACGUGUAGCCGGCCUGAGAGGGUGACCGGCCACAUUGGGACUGAGAUAUGGCCCAGACUCCUACGGGAGGCAGCAGUGGGGAAUAUUGCACAAUGGGCGGAAGCCUGAUGCAGCAACGCCGCGUGCGGGAUGACGGCCUUCGGGUUGUAAACCGCUUUCGCCUGUGACGAAGCGUGAGUGACGGUAAUGGGUAAAGAAGCACCGGCUAACUACGUG